UACGGGAGGCAGCAGUGGGGAAUAUUGCACAAUGGGCGCAAGCCUGAUGCAGCCAUGCCGCGUGUAUGAAGAAGGCCUUCGGGUUGUAAAGUACUUUCAGUCGUGAGGAAGGUGUUAAGGUUAAUAACCUUAGCAAUUGACGUUAGCGACAGAAGAAGCACCGGCUAACUCCGUGCCAGCAGCCGCGGUAAUACGGAGGGUGCGAGCGUUAAUCGGAAUUACUGGGCGUAAAGGGCACGCAGGCGGUUAAUUAAGUUGGAUGUGAAAUCCCCGGGCUUAACCUGGGAAUGGCAUUCAAGACUGGUUAGCUAGAGUCUUGUAGAGGGGGUAGAAUUCCAUGUGUAGCGGUGAAAUGCGUAGAGAUGUGGAGGAUACCGGUGGCGAAGGCGGCCCCUGGACAAAGACUGACGCUCAUGUGCGAAAGCGUGGGGAGCAAACAGGGAUUAGAUACC
rnacentral:rRNA from 1 species